rnacentral:rRNA from 1 species
UAACGCGUAUGCAACCUGUCCGUUACAGGGGGAUAGCCCAUGGAAACGUGGAUUAACACUCCAUAAUAUAAUAUAGAGGCAUCUUUGUAUUAUUAAAUAUUCAUAGGUAACGGUUGGGCAUGCGUCCUAUUAGAUAGUUGGGGGGGUAACGGCCCACCAAGUCGAUGAUAGGUAGGGGUUCUGAGAGGAAGGUCCCCCACACUGGUACUGAGACACGGACCAGACUCCUACGGGAGGCAGCAGUGAGGAAUAUUGGUCAAUGGGCGAGAGCCUGAAUCAGCCAAGUCGCGUGAGGGAUGACUGCCCUAUGGGUUGUAAACCUCUUUUGUAUGGGGGGAAUAAGCUUUACGAGUAGAGUGAUGACAGUACCAUACGAAUAAGCAUCGGCUAACUCCGUGCCAGCAGCCGCGGUAAUACGGAGGAUGCGAGCGUUAUCCGGAUUUAUUGGGUUUAAAGGGUGCGUAGGCGGCAUUAUAAGUUAGUGGUAAAAUAUUGGGGCUUCACCUCACUACGCCAUUAAUACUGUAGAGCUAGAGAACAGACGAGGUAGGCGGAAUAAGUUAAGUAGCGGUGAAAUGCAUAGAUAUAACUUAGAACACCGAUAGCGAAGGCAGCUUACCAGACUGAGUCUGACGCUGAUGCACGAGAGCAUGGGUAGCGAACAGGAUUAGAUACCCUGGUAGUCCAUGCCGUAAACGAUGCUCACUGGCCUUAGGCGAUAUACGGUCU